AUGGAGCCGUGGAGGCGUAAGAGGCACGACCGCGGAGAGGUCUGGAGCGCGGCGGGGGGACCGGGGCGGCAGCGGCGGCGGCUGGGGGCGGCCGUGGCAGAGCAGUGCGGCUCGGUGGAGUGCCCCUUUCAGGAGGUUUCCAAAUACGAGAAGCUUACCGAGAUCGGCCAAGGCAUCUUCGCGGAGGCGUUUAAGGCCGAGCACCACAAGACCGGCCAGAAGGAGGCCCUGAAGAAGGUGCGGGUGGAAAGUGAGAGGCAGGGGUUCCCCAGGACAGCCUUGCGGGAGAUCAAGAUCCCCCAGCUUCCAAAACACGAGGAUGUGGUCAGCAUGAUUGAGAUCCCCCAUCACCGCUGCAAGGAGAGCAUGCCCCUGGUGUUGGACUGUAUAUGCCUUGGUGCAUGACCUUGCUGGGCUGCGGAGCAAUGCUUUGGACAAGUUCACGCUUUCUGAGAUCGAGGGUGAUGCAGAUGCUGCUUAACGGCCUCCACUGCAUCCACAGGAGCAAGAUCCUGCGUGGGGACAUGGCUGCUAACGUGCUCAACACCCGUGACGGGGCCCUGAAGCUGGCCGACUUCAGCCCGGCCGAGAAGAGCCAGCCCACCGCUCCGGCAGCCGUGCGGGACGCUCCGGCACCGGCCCCGGGGGCUGCUGCUGGGGAGCGGGACUGCGGCCUCCCCAUUGACCUGUGGGUGCUGGGUGCACCGCGGCAGAUGUGGACCCGCAGCCCAUCACGCACUGCAGCACGGAGCAGCACCAGCUCGCCCUCAUCAGCCAGCUCUGCGGCUCCAUCGCUCCUCAGGUGUGGCCACACGUGGACAGUAUGAGCUGUGGGACAAGCUGGAGGCGGUCACGGGCCAGAAGCGGGAGGUGGAGGACAGGCCGAAGGCUGGACCUCAUCCACAAGCUGCUGGUGCUGGACCCUGCCUAGCGCACCCAGCACGACUUCUUCUGCUCUGACCCCAUGCCCUCCGGCCUCAAGGGCACGCUCUCCACCCACCUGAGUCCACGUUUGAGUCCCUGGCACGGCCGCGCUGAAUGGGCAGCCAGAUCACCCAGCAGUCCGCCAACCAGAGCCGCAAUACCGUCACCACCAACCAGACGGAGUUCGAGCGCGUCUUCUGAGGUUUGGCGCUUGCCACUAGGGCUGUUGUAUUUUUUCUUCUGCUUUGUAACUUGCAUCAUGGAGACGAUGGGGCGUUUGAGUUUCUAUCUCUCAUGCGUAUUUUAUUUAAUCCCCACCCUGGGCUCUGGGAGCAGCCCGCUGAGUGGACUGGAGUGCAGCAUUGGCUGAGAGGCCUGGAGGGCACCAGGACUCUCGGUCUUGCUCCCUGGCUUUCUGGAAGGUGCACAGAGGGUCUCCAAGAGGUGGGAGGAGGGACUUGCCCACCAGUGACUUUUUCUAAGAGCUCCCAGCGUGAUGGAAGAGGGGGCAGGUCCCUCACCCAUCCACAGUCCUGUUCUGGGGCUGAGAACCCCGCGUGGGGACAGGGCUGGCCUCAGGAGUGCGUUGUUUUUGGCCUCACUCUCAAAAGCACUGGGGCCGGCACAAACUCCUGGUUUCUUCAACAGGAGAAUUUUAUCAUAUUUCUUUUGGUUCCGUUGUUCGGAGACAUUCCUGGACACGGUUUGGUCAGUUAGAAUUAAAAGUUGAGUUUUUGUUUUCC